AGAGUUUGAUCAUGGCUCAGAACGAACGCUGGCGGCAGGCCUAACACAUGCAAGUCGAGCGAGAAACCACCUCCGGGUGGCGGACAGCGGCGGACGGGUGAGUAAUGCGUGGGAAUAUGCCCUUUGGUACGGAAUAGCCCCUGGAAACGGGGAGUAAUACCGUAUGUGCCCUACGGGGGAAAGAUUUAUCGCCAAAGGAUUAGCCCAUGUUGGAUUAGCUAGUUGGUGAGGUAAAGGCUCACCAAGGCGACGAUCUAUAGCUGGUUUGAGAGGAUGAUCAGCCACACUGGGACUGAGACACGGCCCAGACUCCUACGGGAGGCAGCAGUGGGGAAUAUUAGACAAUGGGCGAAAGCCUGAUCUAGCCAUGCCGCGUGAGUGAAGAAGGCCCUAGGGUUGUAAAGCUCUUUCAGAUGUGAGGAUGAUGACAGUAACAUCAGAAGAAGCCCCGGCUAACUUCGUGCCAGCAGCCGCGGUAAUAAU
rnacentral:rRNA from 1 species